UGGGGAAUAUUGCACAAUGGAGGGAACUCUGAUGCAGCGACGCCGCGUGAACGAAGAAGGCUUUCGAGUCGUAAAGUUCUUUUAUAUGGGAAGAUAAUGACGGUACCAUAAGAAGAAGCCCCGGCUAACUACGUGCCAGCAGCCGCGGUAAUACGUAGGGGGCUAGCGUUGUCCGGAAUCACUGGGCGUAAAGGGUUCGCAGGCGGAAAUGCAAGUCAGGUGUAAAAGGCAGUAGCUUAACUACUGUAAGCAUUUGAAACUGCAUAUCUUGAGAAGAGUAGGGGUAAGUGGAAUUUUUAGUGUAGCGGUGAAAUGCGUAGAUAUUAAAAAGAAUACCGGUGGCGAAGGCGACUUACUGGGCUCAUUCUGACGCUGAGGAACGAAAGCGUGGGUAGCAAACAGG
rnacentral:rRNA from 1 species